rnacentral:rRNA from 1 species
AAUCCAUAGGUUAAUGAGGCGAACCGGGGGAACUGAAACAUCUAAGUACCCCGAGGAAAAGAAAUCAACCGAGAUUCCCCCAGUAGCGGCGAGCGAACGGGGAGGAGCCCAGAGCCUGAAUCAGCAUGUGUGUUAGUGGAAGCGUCUGGAAAGGCGCGCGAUACAGGGUGACAGCCCCGUACACAAAAGCGCAUGUGCUGUGAGCUCGAUGAGUAGGGCGGGACACGUGGUAUCCUGUCUGAAUAUGGGGGGACCAUCCUCCAAGGCUAAAUACUCCUGACUGACCGAUAGUGAACCAGUACCGUGAGGGAAAGGCGAAAAGAACCCCGGCGAGGGGAGUGAAAAAGAACCUGAAACCGUGUACGUACAAGCAGUGGGAGCCCCACCACUAAGCCAGUGGUGAACUCCACAUACGCAUCCUUUGCUGAGGAUACGGUUAACGGAGCGAAAGCGACGUUCAACCGCAAAAGAAGCAGAGGGGGCUUAGUGGUGGGGUGACUGCGUACCUUUUGUAUAAUGGGUCAGCGACUUAUAUUCUGUAGCAAGGUUAACCGAAUAGGGGAGCCGGAGGGAAACCGAGUCUUAAUUGGGCGUUAAGUUGCAGGGUAUAGACCCGAAACCCGGUGAUCUAGCCAUGGGCAGGUUGAAGGUUGGGUAACACUAACUGGAGGACCGAACCGACUAAUGUUGAAAAAUUAGCGGAUGACCUGUGGCUGGGGGUGAAAGGCCAAUCAAACCGGGAGAUAGCUGGUUCUCCCCGAAAGCUAUUUAGGUAGCGCCUCGUGAAUUCAUCUCCGGGGGUAGAGCACUGUUUCGGCUAGGGGGCCAUCCCGGCUUACCAACCCGAUGCAAACUGCGAAUACCGGAGAAUGUUAUCACGGGAGACACACGGCGGGUGCUAACGUCCGUCGUGAAGAGGGAAACAACCCAGACCGCCAGCUAAGGUCCCAAAGUCAUGGUUAAGUGGGAAACGAUGUGGGAAGGCCCAGACAGCCAGGAUGUUGGCUUAGAAGCAGCCAUCAUUUAAAGAAAGCGUAAUAGCUCACUGGUCGAGUCGGCCUGCGCGGAAGAUGUAACGGGGCUAAACCAUGCACCGAAGCUGCGGCAGCGAACGUAUCACUUAAAGCGAUUCAGCGGGUUACGAUUGACGGAGCGAAGCGACGUCAAAGCGUAUACAAAGUCGAGUCGGUUUAAGGAUACGUUCGUUGGGUAGGGGAGCGUUCUGUAAGCCUGUGAAGGUGGCCUGUGAGGGUUGCUGGAGGUAUCAGAAGUGCGAAUGCUGACAUAAGUAACGAUAAAGCGGGUGAAAAGCCCGCUCGCCGGAAGACCAAGGGUUCCUGUCCAACGUUAAUCGGGGCAGGGUGAGUCGACCCCUAAGGCGAGGCCGAAAGGCGUAGUCGAUGGGAAACGGGUUAAUAUUCCCGUACUUGGUGUUACUGCGAAGGGGGGACGGAGAAGGCUAUGUUGGCCGGGCGACGGUUGUCCCGGUUUAAGCGUGUAGGUGUGUGUUCCAGGUAAAUCCGGUUCACUUUAACACUGAGGCGUGACGACGAGGCACUACGGUGCUGAAGCAACAAAUGCCCUGCUUCCAGGAAAAGCCUCUAAGCAUCAGGUAACAUCAAAUCGUACCCCAAACCGACACAGGUGGUCAGGUAGAGAAUACCAAGGCGCUUGAGAGAACUCGGGUGAAGGAACUAGGCAAAAUGGUGCCGUAACUUCGGGAGAAGGCACGCUGACACGUAGGUGAAGUGAUUUACUCAUGGAGCUGAAGUCAGUCGAAGAUACCAGCUGGCUGCAACUGUUUAUUAAAAACACAGCACUGUGCAAACACGAAAGUGGACGUAUACGGUGUGACGCCUGCCCGGUGCCGGAAGGUUAAUUGAUGGGGUCAGCGCAAGCGAAGCUCCUGAUCGAAGCCCCGGUAAACGGCGGCCGUAACUAUAACGGUCCUAAGGUAGCGAAAUUCCUUGUCGGGUAAGUUCCGACCUGCACGAAUGGCGUAAUGAUGGCCAGGCUGUCUCCACCCGAGACUCAGUGAAAUUGAACUCGCUGUGAAGAUGCAGUGUACCCGCGGCAAGACGGAAAGACCCCGUGAACCUUUACUAUAGCUUGACACUGAACAUUGAGCCUUGAUGUGUAGGAUAGGUGGGAGGCUUUGAAGUGUGGAC